GACAUCUUGGCCGAGUGGUCUAAGGCGUUCGACUCAAAAUCGAAUCUACGGUAGUGGGCGAGGGUUCGAAUCCCUCAGAUGUCA